CUCCGAGGCCAGUGAUUCCAUAAUUUUUGCCAGGGGUUGUAGUGUAUAUAAAUAAAUUUGUCUAUUUGGACCAUGAAAUGAGAUUUCUUGCAACAGCAUUUGAUAACUCAUCAUUAGGAUUUGUGGUAUUUCACGGCUGAUCAUUCAUUGAUACAUUGGGAAUUGACUGGAUUGAUCACAUUUGUUGUUGCAGUUUUCAGUGGAUAUUUGAUCAAACGAACAGGUUACCAUCAAAAUCUGAAAGCAUUCUUAAAGCUUGCUUUAAAAAAAAUGUAGGUGAAUCAGACGUUGCAAUAUUGCUCUUUAAUUUUACUUUUUUUAAAUCCCCAGAGUGUAGUGCAUUACUUUAGAAACAGUGACCUCUAGUUGCAUUUGGUGGUUCCUACAGCUCGAGUUACAGCCUCUCACAGAACUGUGUUCCACAGCAGCAUCAUUUGAACGUGCAUGGACCUCAGCGGGGACUCACGUGGUCCAAAUCCUCAAACAGUCUAAACUUCCUCACAUUUUAACAGCAAGUCUGAAUUUUUGGUUCCGAUUCACUGUGAAGCAUCUCAAAGUACAAAAACAGCUAAAUAAAAAAAGAAGCAAAGUUUUCACCUACAGACAUUUAUUAAAUUACACACUUGGAUCCAACUGUGUGUGGCUUUGGUACAAUAAAAAAAUGAAGGCAGCAGUAAGUUCAGCUCAAAGGCUGAUUAAAAUACUGAGAGGCAUUAAGGGGCUGAAGAUGAAGGUUUGGACAGUAGAGUUCAAUCAUCAGCACCGUUAUGUCACCAGCAAAAUACAUUAAAACCACAUGUGCAAAUUUAGACAAAAUACCAAAGUAAUGGUCAGAGUGCAGACAGAAAGAGGAAACACUGGGGGUUUUUUUUGUGUGUGUGUAUAUUUGUAAAGUGUCCAGAGUUUGAGUCGUGUCCUCAGACUGUUGGCUGAACCUGCAAGUUGCCUCGUCUUUAAAAAAAAAAACCCUAAAUUGCCCUACAAAAUCUAGAUGCUCCGGUGUUUUUGAAGCUGCUAUAACUUAUGGUUUUUUGUUUUUUUUAAAACUAAAUCUGGGCUUCUAAGUGCAGAUAUCUUAAAUUCUGAUGCCACUGGUGUUCUCACCAGGAAUAAAAGGCCUCGCUGUGGCUUUAGUGCAAACAGGGAAACACAUUGUAAUGUCAUCUUUAAGUCGCCCCUGACCGAUGUCAGUGCUCAUUAAAAUGUUAAAGUGUUUGAUAAAAGUGGCAUUCAGAGAAGAAUAAACCAACACCCACCCUGAAAUGGCAGAAAUUACCAGCGUUGCCAUUUACACUAGACAUUAUGUUCACAUUGAGCAUUUGGCAAAUUAUAGGCUACGUUUAGCGUACGCGUUCAUGUUAACCGCAGGUAAUGCUAACCACCAGUGUCAACUGCGCUUAGUGUGACAGUGUACGCUUAUCUAAAUUAGUUUUUUUGUUUCAGACCUUGAUCUCUUUCGGCGUUCCUGAAGCGUGUCAGUGUCUCACUGCCAUUAGCGCUCCAGCUCCACUGGUUGCUAGCUAAUGGCCAUAAAAUAAUUCACAUUCGUCACUGUCGCUAAACGCUACUCUCCGCUUACCACAAGUCUGGGCGGCAAACAAGUUAAGUGUCAAUCAUGUCAUCGUUUACCCCGCCC